rnacentral:rRNA from 1 species
AACGAACGCUGGCGGCGUGGAUAAGACAUGCAAGUCGAGCGGGACAUGCCCGGUAGCAAUAUCGGGUAUGUUUAGCGGCGCAAGGGUGCGUAACACGUGGGUAAUUUGCCGUAAAGCUGGGGAUAACUCCGGGAAACCGGAGCUAAUACCGAAUGUGGAUUCACCGGGCAUCUGGUGAACUCUAAAGCUGGGGACCCGCAAGGGCCUGGCACUUUACGAUAAGCCCGCGGCCUAUCAGCUAGUUGGCGAGGUAACGGCUCACCAAGGCAGAGACGGGUAGCUGGUCUGAGAGGACGACCAGCCACACUGGAACUGAGACACGGUCCAGACACCUACGGGUGGCAGCAGUCGAGAAUUUUUCACAAUGGGCGCAAGCCUGAUGGAGCGACGCCGCGUGGGGGAUGAAGGGCUUCGGCUCGUAAACCCCUGUCAGUCGCGAACAAGGUCCAUUCAAUAACACUAGGUGGAUUGAUAGUAGUGACAGAGGAAGGGAACGGCGUAACUA